UAUGUCGACCUGCCACUGUUAAAAAGCGUCUCAGAAGACUCCAGAAGUGCCUUUCCUCGCCCCUUCCUCACUGGUCUAAACCUCCAAACGAAAAACGAAAUGAACUUCCUCUGUAGGUCACUCCCCCUCCUCUGUCGCUCCAUCUCCUCGAAGAUCCCUUCUUCUCCCAGACCCCAUCUUCCUCUUUCUCCUCCUCUCUUCUCGAGAUCCAUCUCCAACCUUAACCCCACCGCUGGACUUAUCCCCAAUCCAUCCUUGUCAUGGCGCCGGUUCUGCAACCUCGAUCGACUCCAGCCCCAGCAAUGGCACCAUAACCGCCGCACCAUCCUCCAACCCCUCGCCGUUCUUCUUGGUGUCAUCGUUGGCGGCGGAGGCGUCAUCUAUUACCGCUAUUUUGAGACCGUCCCUUUCAGUAACAACUCCCGCUUGGUCAUCGUCUCUCCUUUGGCUGAGCGAGAUAUCAGCGAGAUCGAGUUUCAGAAGCUGAAGAACGGCCUCGAGGGCAGGAUCCUCCCCGGCAACCAUCCCGACACCAUCCGCGUCCGCCGCAUCUCCGAGAACAUCAUCGAAGCCAUUCAACCAUGUCUCAACCAUGACAAGCGGCAGUGGGGCAAUCUCAGUUACGCUUUUGAGAUCCAUGACAAGUGGCAGUGGGGAGAUCUCUGGUACGCUUGUGAGAUCCAAGCUCUUGAGCAGUCCCCGGAGACCACGAAGAAGGCGGCGGAGGCUGAGAGUUGGGAGGUGCUUGUGGUGAGCGAUAAAAACUUUCUAUGCCUUUUUGCCUUCCGUGUCGCAAGAUUGUGGUUUCCACCAGAGUUCUUGAUCAUCUCAGGACGGAUGCCGAGAUCGCCACUUUGCUUGGGCAUGAGGGAUUUUUAUUUGUUUCUUGGAGGUUGCCCAUGUUGUUGCUCGCCAUGGUGCGGAGAUUGCUACAAAAGGCUUGUGGAUGGAUAUUCAUUUCAUGCCACGUUUCUGUUGUUUUGAUCAUGAAAAAAUAGUGGAUGCUUUAAUGCGGAAAGAGGACCUCUGCACAAGGGACAUGACAUGCUGAGAACAAUGAUGCUUGUAAAAUAUACCCCCAAUCUGGCACUUGAAGGACAGUGUUGUGCGAGACAAGGAAAUGUUGGAAAAUUCUGCUAGGGACUGAUGGAAUUGGCCUUUAGCAACGUUGUUCUGGCCUAGAAAAGGCAUUCUGUGGGGGGUGAUUGAGCAAAGUGCCCAUAGUAGGUUUCUUACAAGGACAUUAUAGUAUCAAAUAUUGUCAGGAGGACGCGGGUUUAGUUUGUAGUUCAAUGGACUAUAAAAGGCAUUCUUGUAUCUUUUACUAAUUUGUAACCGGAAAGGACAAAAUCUUUGGAAUAAAAUCAACUAAUAUUUCUUCUUUCAUACAUUAUCCCAUUCUGAGAUUCUUGUACGGUUACCAAUAAAUACAUAAGAGUAACAUGGAUUAUCAUGUUGAAAUA